rnacentral:lncRNA from 1 species
UCAAAUUUAUUUGUUUGUUUACAUUUGAGUAACAAGAAUGAAAUCUGAGAAAAAGAUGUUAAUUGCGAAAGCAUUGGCUUUGAGAAGCCAAAUAAAUAUCCUGCUCAUCGACAAUUCCUCAAGAGAACUAUUGGGAUGUCUUACUACUCAGCACCAUGCCUUGGCAAAAAAAAACCGAGUUAAAGAAACAACAUCUAAUCGUAUUAGAUUUUAUAAAGAACCUUGGGAUGCCGAUUAAUUCAUGUUGGACAAAACAACGUAAGAAUCAGUUUUGGGAACACGAUUGCCAACGAAACGGAUCUGCUGUUUUUAAAGAGAACUUUCGCAUGGAUCGAAGUUCCUUUGAUAAAUUAAGUGACAUCCUCCGCCCGUUACAAAAAAUGGAUACAAAUUACCAAAAAGCUAUUCCUAUCGAGAAAAGAGUGGCUAUAACAUUAUUUGCUUUAGGGUAAUCUGCAGAGUAUCGUAGUAUCGCCAACAUGUUCGGUGUAGGAAAAUCUACGGUUUGCGAAAUUUUACUGGAAUUUUGCACCGAAAUCUGGAGAUUACUGCAGCCAUCCUCUUUUAAAAUGUUGCCUCUAAACAGAGAAAAUGUAACCGCAUUGGUGACUGGUUUCGAGGUAAUUGGAUUCCCACAAUGCUUAGGAGCAAUUGACGGAUGCCACAUUGAGAUUCAUCCAUCAUCUGACGAAGCUGUGGAUUAUUAUAAUUAUAAAGAUACUGUUUUACUUACAUAAACGUAGGAAGUCGUAUGAGACGUCAUCACUUAAAAAAGAAAUGGAUAGUUGUCCUUUACUAAGCGC